GACAUAGGUGGCAAACGUUAUCCGGAAUUAUUGGGCGUAAAGAGUGCGUAGGUGGUUUAAUAAGUUACUGGUGGGAAAUCGGGGCUCAACCCCGUGGAAGUCAGUAAUACUAUUAAACUAGAGGACCGGAGAGGUUAACGGAAUUCUAUGUGUAGCGGUAAAAUGCGUAAAUAUAUAGAGGAACACCAAGUGGCGAAGGCAGUUAACUAUUCGGCUCCUGACGUUGAGGCACGAAAGCGUGGGGAGCAAGACGG
rnacentral:rRNA from 1 species